rnacentral:rRNA from 1 species
CCCUUAGAUGUUCUGGGCCGCACGCGCGCUACACUGAUGAAUGCAACGAGCUCUACCCUUGGCCGAAAGGCCCGGGUAAACUUGUGAAACUUCAUCGUGAUGGGGAUAGAUUAUUGCAAUUAUUAAUCUUCAACGAGGAAUUCCUAGUAAGCGCGAGUCAUCAGCUCGCGUUGAUUACGUCCCUGCCCUUUGUACACACCGCCCGUCGCUCCUACCGAUUGAAUGGUCCGGUGAAAUCUUCGGAUUGCUGACCAAGAUCCAGCAAUGGAGCUUGGUUGCGAGAAGUUGAUUAAACCUUAUUAUUUAGAGGAAGGAGAAGUCGUAACA